rnacentral:rRNA from 1 species
AUUGAACGCUGGCGGCAGGCCUAACACAUGCAAGUCGAGCGGUUGAAGGGAGCUUGCUCCUGGAUUCAGCGGCGGACGGGUGAGUAAUGCCUAUGAAUCUGCCUGGUAGUGGGGGAUAACGUCCGGAAACGGGCGCUAAUACCGCAUACGUCCUGAGGGAGAAAGUGGGGGAUCUUCGGACCUCACGCUAUCAGAUGAGCCUAGGUCGGAUUAGCUAGUUGGUGGGGUAAAGGCCUACCAAGGCGACGAUCCGUAACUGGUCUGAGAGGAUGAUCAGUCACACUGGAACUGAGACACGGUACAGACACCGACGGGAGGCAGCAGUGGGGAAGAUUGGACGCUGGGCGAAAGCCUGAUCCAGCGAUGCCGGGUGUGUGAAGAAGGUCUUCGGAUUGUAUAGCACUUUAAGUUGGGAGGAAGGGUAGUAAGUUAAUACAUUGCUGUUUUGACGUUACCAACAGAAGAAGCACCGGCUAACUUCGUG